UACGGAGGGUGCGAGCGUUAUUCGGAAUUACUGGGCGUAAAGCGCGUGUAGGCGGGGGGACAAGUCUGAUGUGAAAGCCCUGGGCUUAACCUGGGAAGCGCAUUGGAAACUGUUUUUCUUGAGUACUGGAGAGGAAGGGGGAAUUCCCGGUGUAGAGGUGAAAUUCGUAGAGAUCGGGAGGAAUACCAGUGGCGUAGGCGCCCUUCUGGACGGUAACUGACGCUGAGACGCGAAAGCGUGGGGAGCAAACAGG
rnacentral:rRNA from 3 species